rnacentral:rRNA from 1 species
CCUACGGGAGGCAGCAGUGGGGGAUAUUGCACAAUGGGGGAAACCCUGAUGCAGCGACGCCGCGUGGGCGAAGAAGUAUUUCGGUAUGUAAAGUCCUAUCAGCAGGGAAGAAGGAAUGACGGUACCUGAGUAAGAAGCACGGGCUAAAUAAGUGACAGCAGCCGCGGUAAUACGGAGGGUGCAAGCGUUAUCCGGAGUUACUGGGUGUAAAGGGAGCGCAGGCGGCACGGCAAGUCGGAUGUGAAAGCCCGCGGCCCAACCGCGGGACUGCAUUUGGCACUACCGGGCUGGAGUGACGGAGAGGUAGGCAGAAUUCCUAGUGGAGCGGUGAAAUGCGUAGAGAUUAGGAGGAACACCAGUGGCGAAGGCAGCCUACUGGACGGUGACUGACGCUGAGGUUCGAAAGCGUGGGGAGCAAACAGGAUUAGAUACCCUUGUAGUC